rnacentral:rRNA from 1 species
UACGGGGGGGGCAAGCGUUGUUCGGAAUUACUGGGCGUAAAGGGCUCGUAGGUGGCCAACUAAGUCAGGCGUGAAAGCCCCGGGCUUAACCUGGGAACAGCGUUUGAUACUGGAGAGCUUGAGUGUGGGAGAGGUUGGUGGAAUUCCCAGUGUAGAGGUGAAAUUCGUAGAUAUUGGGAAGAACACCGGUGGCGAAGGCGGCCAACUGGACCACAACUGACGCUGAGGCGCGAAAGCGUGGGGAGCAAACAGG